GACGAACGCUGGCGGCGUGCUUAACACAUGCAAGUCGCACGGUAAGGCCCUUCGGGGUACACGAGUGGCGAACGGGUGAGUAACACGUGGGCGAUCUGCCCUGCACUUCGGUAUAAGCCUGGGAAACUGGGUCUCAUACCGGAUAGGACUCCUGACUUCAUGGUUGGGGGUGGAAAGCUUUUGAGGUAUGGGAUGGGCCCGCGGCCUAUCAGCUUGUUGGGGGGGUAAUGGCCUACCAAGGCGAAGACGGGUAGCCGGCCUGAGAGGGUUACCGGUCACACUGGGACUGAGAUACGGCCCAGACUCCGACGGGAGGCAGCAGUGGGGAAUAUUGCACAAUGGGCGCAAGCCUGAUGCAGCGACGACGCGUGAGGGAUGACGGCCUUCGGGUUGUAAACCUCUUUCAGCUAUGACGAAGCGCAAGUGACGGUAGUAGCAGAAGAAGGACCGGCCAACUUCGUGCCAGCAGCCGCAGUAA
rnacentral:rRNA from 1 species